GUGGCUGGCGGCUGGGUGCCUUCUACUGGUGCUGUGCAGACGCUUUCCCUAAGGCUGCUGUGAGCCUGUAGGGUUUCCCCCUAGGCUACUAAGCUGG
rnacentral:pre_miRNA from 1 species